GCGGCCGCCCAAGGCGUCGCGUGCAACGCCGGUCGGCCGCUUACGUCAAUAAUCGCUCCGAUUGCUCCUCGUAAUUUUCUUCAAAAUGCAGAUAUUAAUCCCAAUAUUUAUUUAAGCUCGUAAAACUAUUUAUUUCGAACAUAGGAUAAAAAUUAUUAAACUUCCACAUUAUCCGGAAAUUAGUUAAAUAAUUCCCCAUAAGUAAUUUAUCGGCCCAAAACUUAAUUCGUUCCCACCUUAUGUCUUUAAUUUAAUUAAUCAAUACCCCCACUAAAGAAGGCCCAAACCAUUUAAUUAAAAGUCCAAGAUUUAAUUAUUUCCUCCACUUUAUCUUCAAUUACAAUUUUAAGCCCAACAAUUAAACAUUCUACCCACUUCUAAUUAAUGAGGCCCAAACUUAAAGAAAACAAAAGCCCAAGAAUCCAAACUCCUUCCUUCACUCACGUAACACCCUCUCUCUCUCUCUACCCCCUUCUUCUUUCUCGACGGAAAUCGCAGCAGAUCGCCGCCUUGACCGCCUCCGCCGUCGGCCGCUGCUCUCGGCACGCCGUUCGCUCUGAGCCAUCUCCAACCGCUGCACCCGACGCCGUCGCUGCUGUUUCGCGCCGCUGCCGCUCGUCGCCGGAGUCCGCCGCUGCUGUAUCGCCGUCCAGCCGCCAGCCACUGCGGUCGUCGCUCCCGGCGUUCAGUCAUCGCACAUCCAACUCCGCUGGAGCCGUCGGGAGAGCGACGCCGCUGCUGUCAGCGACGCGUGCGUCGGUAAUUUCCGCCAUCCGUUGCUCCGAUUCACCCCGAAUCAGACCCGACGCCCCCAACACUCACUCGAUUCUCCCCGCGAGUUAAGUUUCUCAGAUUCGAUUCCAGUUCAUUAAAGUUCGCUCCUUUUAUUAUUUUUUCCAGUUUUCUUUGAUUAAUCGUUUAAGAGGUAAAUUCACAGAUUUAUCGAUGAUAGCGUUUGACGUAAAGAUGCAGCAGUUUCAAAUCGAGAUUGGUUGGAGGGGGUGUAUACCUUCACUAAUCUGAGACGGUCAGAUUGGUAAUGGAGACUAGCAGUGGAUGGAAAAGAGUGUGUGGCUUGAUUCUCUUUCUCGGUCCUGUUCAAGAAGUUCAAUGCGUUUGGCGAUUUGAUUUAGAAGUAAAAACGUGUACAGUGAUAGAGUUCGCAAGAAUACCUUGAGUAGGAAUUUGAAGAGAAGUUCUGUUUUGCUGCAGGGAUGGGAAGAAAGAAACGAAGAGUGAAAUCUGUAUUAUAGAGGAGUAGUAGAUUUGGUGGAGAGAUUGGAGAGAUUCAUGAGAGAGAGAGACGGUUGCAGCAUCGUGUGUUGGGGAGUGGGAGUUUCGGUUUCUUUCUUUUUUUUUUUUCUCUUUCUGAUUUACUUGAAUUUAUCUGGUAUUUUAUUUAUAGGUUACGGGGGAGGAAAAAUUCCAUCACGGAGCAGGAAAAUCUACGUAAAAUCUUUAAUUAAAUCUUGAAUUAAAGAUAUUUUAUUUUAGUUGGUUUAGAUUAAUUCACAGCCCGUUGUAUUUUAUUUUAAAUUGUGCAGUCCAUUUAUUUAUCACGGACUGGACCUUUAUUUAA